UUAGUUGCGUAGAAAGGGAUACAUUACAAUAAAGUGUCUUGAUUACAGAGAACCGAGGUAGCUGAGAAUCGGAAGAAAAGAAUUGUUGUAACAUCACCCUGGAGCAUCUCUCCCAAAACUUAACAUAGUGAGUAGGCAGAGACGUAGUCUUCACGUUACAGAAGAAGCUGUUGGAUGUGACAGUGAUAAGUGGUUUUAAUUAGUGAUAAUUAUUUCAAACAAAGUGGUACCACGAAAUUGAUAUUUUCGCCUUUGUU
rfam:Eubacterium sp. CAG:156 genomic scaffold, scf193